GGCUUGGGGAGGGCUGACUUUCACACUGUCUGAGGGUGUCACAUCUUUAACGUACAGCUCUGGUAAAACAUAAUGAAGUCAUUCUUACAGAUAGCUAUUCUCCUGAUUUCAUUUUGGGAUUCCAUCCAGAUAUCUAUCACUCAGACACCAACCCAUGCGGCAUUAAACGCACAUGACACUCUGACCAUUAAGUGCUUCCAGUUACAUCUACGAUGAUAUGGGCCUUUACUACUUCAAGCACGGACAGACUCCCAAACUCCUCAUGAAUGAGUUACAUGUGAAACCUUCCCUGGAACCCGAUACGGUGGAUCAUGGCUUAAAGGAUCACAAGAUUUUGUGUUUUCAGUGAGGAAUGUUGAUUAUGCGGAUGAAGGGACCUAUUUCUGUGGAGAGUACCUCACCUGGCCGUACCACACUGAUUCAGAGAUGUACAAGAUCCUCCUCAUAUGUAAGCUUUCCUAUACUGAGAGUGCGAGCGACUUCAUUUCUGUUGGAUGUAUAAUUUAAAUAAGGAUGUAUUAUUCAUUCAAUUCAAAUGGAUAUACGUGAUCCUUUAUGAAGAGAUAUUGUACGGGGUGCUUUGUGGGAUCGUGCAGUCAUUUGUGAAUGGACAAAACCUUUAACUGUGGAGUAUAACUCUCCAAACUUUCUUCUAGUGGAGGAGAAGACUGUGUUAAAAUGCAGGUAAAGUGUUGGAUAAGUUGGCUGUACAUAAAUACUAUGGGCGAGCAAACACUGUGAGGAGGUUUUUGUACGGCUGUUCCCACUACUUCAGUCACUGUGGUACAU